rnacentral:rRNA from 1 species
UACAGAGGUCCCAAGCGUUGUUCGGAUUCAUUGGGCGUAAAGGGUGCGUAGGCGGCCCGGUAAGUCCGCUGUGAAAGUCCAGGGCUCAACCCUGGGAUGCCGGUGGAUACUGUCGGGCUCGAGUCCGGAAGAGGAGUGUGGAAUUCCUGGUGUAGCGGUGAAAUGCGCAGAUAUCAGGAGGAACACCAAUGGCGAAGGCAGCACUCUGGGACGUGACUGACGCUGAGACGCGAAAGCGUGGGGAGCAAACAGG